GACGAACGCUGGCGGCGUGCUUAACACAUGCAAGUCGAACGGAAAGGCCUGCUUUCCCUUGUGGAUUGCGGGUGCUCGAGUGGCGAACGGGUGAGUAACACGUGAGUGAUCUGCCCCCAACUUGGGUAUAAGCCUGGGAAACUGGGUCUAAUUCCCGAUAGGACUGCAGGGUGGUGCCUGUGGUGGAAAACGAUUUUCUAGUGGUUGGGGAUGAGCUCGCGGCCUAUCAGCUUGUUGGUGGGGUAAUGGCCUACCAAGGCGGCGACGGGUAGCCGGCCUGUGAGGGUGGACGGCCACAUUGGGACUGAGAUACGGCCCAGACUCCUACGGGAGGCAGCAGUGGGGAAUAUUGCACAAUGGGCGGAAGCCUGAUGCAGCGACGCCGCGUGGGGGAUGACGGCCUUCGGGUUGUAAACUCCUUUCGACCGCGAGGAAGCCACCUGGUUGGAAGGGUGGUGACGGUAGUGGUAGAAGAAGCACCGGCUAACUACGUG
rnacentral:rRNA from 1 species